AACAUCUUGGCUGAAACCUGAUCUAGAACCAAGUAAUAUUUCUAAUGAAGGGUUUCCAGUGGUGCCAGUACCAAGGUCUUCCAACAUCUCCAGGUCUUCCAGCAACUGCAAGUCUUCCAACACUGUCAAGGUCUUCCAGACAAUCGUGAUCUUCCAGAAAAUAUGUCUUCCAGAUGAUAUAUGUCUUCCAACAACCUCAGAGUCUUCCAGUAAAUUCAGUCUUCCAUGGUAUCUAGAUCUUCCGUGAUAUCUAGAUCUUCUAGGAAAAUCUGUGUCUUCCAGGAAAAUCUUUGUCUUCCAAGGGAUCCAUGUCUUCCAGAAAAAAAUCCACGUCUUCCAGAAAAAUUCAUGUCUUCCAGGAAAAUCCAUGUCUUCCAGAAAAAUCCAAGUCUUCCAGAAGAAUCUAAGUCUUCCUGAAAAAUCCAUGUCUUCCAUAACAAUCUACAUCUUCCAGAAUAAUCAACGUCUUCCACAAAA
rnacentral:lncRNA from 1 species